AACCAUAGAAACCUGCGGAGUACCUGCGGAAGGAUCAUUAAAAAAAUGAUGAAUGUCGGAGGGCGUUCAGUUUCUUACUUGUCGCUCUCCGUGUAUUCAACCAACCCGCUCUUGCAUUUGGAUCAACCAAAAAUAAACAAAAAUAUUAUUAUAAUAAAAAUAAACUUUUAGCAACGGAUCU
rnacentral:misc_RNA from 1 species